GACAGACAGGAGGGGAUGUUAUGCUAUCACAGCGUUUGAUCACCGGCAUCACGGGAACACAGGUAUCAGAGAGAGACUCGUAUCUCUCACAGCUGUUCAGAUUCUGUCGUGGGGCUUGUUUAGAUAUUGGUGUAAAUGGGAUGAGGAAGAUUUAACUUUGAAGAUAUGAGAUUAAUUAUUUUUUCUUCCCCCUUCUGAUCUCUUUCAAAAGCUGUGCACUGUGAGUCUGAGCAUUUUUUUUUUUUUUGGCUUUUUUUUGCUUUUUUUUAAUGAAAUAAAUGGUAGAGGCAAAUAAAUUUGCAUGACUCAACAGAAAAAAUAUUUUCCAGAGCUCUGUGUGUUAAUAGGCUUCACAGUACAAUUACUUGGCCUGUACAUAAUGGAAGUGCAAUCAAUGUAUGGAUCCUGCCCCCUACUGUCAAUGAUGGAAAUGGCAUCUAUAAUCAAUUAGUGGUGACUCAAUGUUAGAGGGCUGCAGGCUAACAGCGAUUAACAAAAACUUUCCUUUUUGGUGGGGGAGAUUUGUUGUCCAUUGCCGCCAAUUAUCUCACAUGUUACAACACACUGGGGUUUGCUUUCGAUAUUUUGUUGCUGGUUUAUUUUCAGCAUGUCUGCUUCAUUGUUUCAAGGAGCACAAAGCACAGAUCAUUUUCUUCAGUUGUAGUAUUUUUAUUAUCAGCUCCUCAUUGUUAUUUCCUCUUUCUCUCAUAGAAACCCCCCCACCCUGGAACCAGUGCAGGCCUCAUGUUAUAUUCAGGGAACACAGCAACCUCUUCUGGCCAAAAGUGAACGCAGCAGAGAGUCUGUGCUGAAGCCAGAAUAUAACAAGCUCUGUGUUCCCAUUUCUUUCUCUGUGUCAGGCACUGAGAGCUACAAGGAUACCAGAUGCCGUCCCA
ensembl:lncRNA